UGGGGAAUCUUGCGCAAUGGGGGAAACCCUGACGCAGCAACGCCGCGUGGGUGAUGAAGGCCUUCGGGUCGUAAAGCCCUGUCAGGUGGGAAGAAACUUGUGGAUGUUAAUACCGUCCACACUUGACGGUACCGCCGGAGGAAGCACCGGCUAACUCCGUGCCAGCAGCCGCGGUAAUACGGAGGGUGCAAGCGUUGUUCGGAAUUACUGGGCGUAAAGCGCGUGUAGGCGGUCGGGCAAGUCAGAUGUGAAAGCCUUCCGCUUAACGGAAGAAGUGCAUUUGAAACUACCCGGCUGGAGUACGGGAGAGGAGAGUGGAAUUCCCGGUGUAGAGGUGAAAUUCGUAGAUAUCGGGAGGAACACCAGUGGCGAAGGCGGCUCUCUGGUCCGAUACUGACGCUGAGACGCGAAAGCGUGGGGAGCAAACAGGAUUAGAUACCCUGGUAGUCCACGCCGUAAACGAUGGGCACUAGGUGUAGGAGGUAUUGACCCCUUCUGUGCCGAAGUUAACGCAUUAAGUGCCCCGCCUGGGGAGUACGGCCGCAAGGUUA
rnacentral:rRNA from 1 species